rnacentral:piRNA from 1 species
UCCUGCUGGUUCUUGGCAUGGGCUCUGAGG